rnacentral:misc_RNA from 1 species
UGGUGUUUCCAUUAUCAUUUUGAGAGGCGAGGAGGCUUUAAAUGAAAAACAAAGGCUUCACCAACUAUGAUUUGUUAUAGCUAUGAGAUCUGAGGGCAGAUCAUGUUACCAUAGUAUNNNGAUACUUUAAAUGCAAAUGCUAAUGAAGGUUGUGCCGCGGAAAGAUCAAUUUAUAUAUUGCCCCUUCAUUAGCAGUUUUUCUUUAUUCUUUAAUUUUCUGGCAAGUAUGAUAACCAUUGGGUUGGUUUCAUGGGUUAGCUGUUUUUUUCUUUAAUUUGUUGUUGUCAAUGGCGUGGAGGUUUACAAUUAGAAAUAAUACCAUUGAAGUGUAUUAUGCCUAAUGAUGGAAAAAUCAACUGAAUUGAGUGGUUGCAUGGUUUUUUGUCACUGGUCUCGCUACCACCUUUGCGUG